GGGGCUGGAUGUGUGACAUCUCUCUCUCUCUCUCUCUCUCUCUCUCUUUUCAAAACAUGAGCAGAGUUAUUCCGGCUGAGUUUCCAAAAGAAAGAGAGAGCGAGAGAGAGAGAGAGAGACGUGAACUGGCAAAUCAG